GCACAAUGUUGUAGAUAAAUUGAACUGGUAUUGAUUUUUAUCUUAUGUAGCCAAUUACAUCUGUGUGCAGUGACUGCAAAGUGGUGAAAAUUAAAUCUUUACCAGUUUAAUGAGGUUUUGCAUACUCUUUGCUCUGAUGCAAAUAAAGUGGAUGGCAAUGAAACAAUGGACAUCUGAUGUGGAACCUUGCACACAAUUCAGUUAGAAAUGGAAGACAAUGACAUAUGCAAAACUGAAAUGUGGAAAGUGGGAGGAAGUCACAUCCCAGUAUAGCAUGAGAAGUGCCGCAGGAACUGUCAUUAAAAUCUCCUAGAAGUAAUUCUGAAUGGCUGCAUUUUUGAUCCAUCCUUUUAUAAUGUUUUGCUCUUAUAAUGUCACAUCGUAUUACUCUCUAACUUGCUUAUUCAUUUAUACUGAAGUGAAGUGCCCACGGGGCUUACCUGUGGCCUGGAUAACAGCAGAUCUUAAGACAGAAAUGUGAAUAUAUGCAUUACACGUCAGUGGGACUACCAAAACUGUUUUGGAGGGUGUUCACACAAAACUUACCGUGUUAAAAAAGAUGUUGAUCAGCAGUCAGAUUCAAUAGUAGCUAAGGAAUCGAAGGCAUUUGAAACAAAGCAUUCAGCUUGAAAAGAGGUAAAAAAGAAACAUGAAUAUUUUUAAUGGCGUGGGAGUCCUUGGAGUAGAUGCAGCAGCGAGUGCUGCUCUCUACUGCCAUUAUGACCUGUCAACCGGUAUGAAGUCUCUGCUCCUAGGUUCUGGAGCAUCGGCAUGGGGUGCAUCACAGAGACCCAUGACUGGGGAUUGUAAAGCUGAACUGAGGGGGUGGCUCCUAUGUAUGGGUCAGGAGAAACAUAGGCAUGCCCAAAGCUGGAGCACCCACAGGACAGUCAACAGCAUCAGUCUGUCUCAAGAAGAAUGGAGCUAGAGGUGGUUAUGAUGUAUCAUAAGGAUCCUGAAGUCUUCGUCAAGAGAAGUACAAUGUUCAUGGUGUUGGAUGUCCCUUCCUUUUCAUAUCUGGAUGUUUGUGAACCUAUUUUUAUGUAUUUUCCUACCCUUCCAGUUUCCCCCACACUGGUUUCUGGACACUGCCUAGAAGGUGCACCAUGGCCUCUCCCAACUCCAAGGAACAUGCAGUGACUGACUGGGUUUCUCCAGCCUUGUCCAUCCAUGGCUAUGACAGAGUUUUGGCUCAGGCCAGACAACAGCCCUGUGGCUAUCAGCUCACUGUUGGUGCAAGCUGGUACCAGCUGUAAGCCCAAUGCAAUCCCUGUGACCUUUUAGCAGUGGUGGCUGAUAUCCUAUUAAUGGGACCACCAAAGAAAGGAAGAAACUGAUCAGCUACUCUAUUGAUUGCAUAAUUUCUUCAACAACAUGGUGUGAUUUGGUGGAG
rnacentral:lncRNA from 1 species